rnacentral:lncRNA from 1 species
GCUGGACUUCCUAAAAGAGCAGAAAAGGACUAGUAAUUAUCAGUCCACGUUGCCAUCUCUAGAAUACUGGAUUCAAAAGGGUCAUUUAGAGAGUCAUUAAGUGGAGGCUCCAAAAUAUGGCGAGAUUGCUUUGAAUACCUUCAAAGGGCAAGUGAGAGGGGCUCCCAGAAUAUAGGAAAGUAGUCUGUCAUUCUCCUUCCAGACUGAAAGUUUGCAGAGGAACAGGAGUAUAAGAUCCAUGCAGCAGGCAAGGUGUGAUUCUUAGCUAUUUAUAGGUGCUGCAUAAGUAUUUGUUGAGUGAAUAGAUGAGUGCUUGUACUGGAGAAAAGGAGAGAGGUUGGCUUGGGCAGCACAGAAUGGUAGGACAAGAGAAGGGGUACAGUGACUGCAACCUGUCCUUCCAUCAUCAGCAUGGCAAAGGCAUUUCCUGUGGGCCAGACUGACCAUGGUAGCUGGGUUUGAGUUGUCACAAUAGGACCUCAACCAACAAGGCAGCCUAUUGUGCAGAGAUAUU